rnacentral:misc_RNA from 1 species
GAUCAAACCAUAUUCAUCUAUUGGAGCAUCAUAGUCAUAACUGGUAGUAAUGAAAGGACCUCCAGCACUGCGACCAAAGUUGGUUCCGCCAUGGUACAUGUAGUAAUUAACAAAGGAUCCUCCUUUCUGUAUGAAUCGAGCAACUGCAAAUGCCAAAUCCUGAACUGGACGCUGGUGAAUUGGACCACCAAAUUCCGUGAACCAUCCGCUCCAAGCUUCAGUCCAAAUUGUAGGCUUGUAUGGUUUGUUGGGGGAGAAUGAAUCGCAGUAAAAUCCAUUGCAUGUGUUUAUAACUGGAUCUGGGGCAUCUUCUUCCUUGCACAUCACCCAGGGGACCCCCGUUCCUGUUUGAAUAGCCAUAUUUGCUGCCCAAGUCAUGUAAUUAUAACCAGUAGCACCAAGUAACUUACUUUGUGACCCAUACUCAUUCUCGAUCUGAGAGAGUAUAAUGGGGCCACCCUGAGACUCGAACAAGUUUUCACUCUUCAUCAACCCCACAAUCUUCUCAGUGAACACUUUCAUUGCCCUCUUGAAAGGCUCAUUGUCUGUUCUAAAGCUGAUGCCUGGGACAUACUUUAACCAAACAGGAAAGCCUCCAAAAUUCCACUCUGCACAAACGUAAGGUCCAAUGCGAAGGUGAGCAUAGAGGCCUGCUUUCUGUAUUGUCUUUAUGAAUCUCACCAGAUCAUAUCUCCCUUCAAAAUUGUACUAUAAUCCACAAAACAAACACAAAUUACAAGACAAUAAACUAAGACAAAAUAAACCCAAGAAAACGAAAAAACAGUGAAUAGAAGUAAAUAGAAACAGAGGAAGUAAAUAAAUAAAAGUACAUUUCCCUGAGUAGGCUCAUGCACAUUCCAGAAGACAUAGGUCUCAAUCACAUCCACUCCCCCAUCUUUCGCCUUAUUUAUCAGAUCUUCCCACAUAUCAGGGGUGCUUCUGGGAUAAUGAAUGGAGCCAGAGAAGAGGAUUCUCCUUUGGUCAUUAAUCACAAUUGCCUUGCUAUCGUAGGUCACACUAGACUGAACCAGCUGAGAACCUAAACACAUGACCAAGCAUACAAAACUCAACAACUUGGAAACUGAGCUCGUUCCCAUUCUUGAUUCUUCCCUUCCCUUCCUCUAUCUAGCUGUGAAAUGAAAGCAGAAAGAGAGAAAAGAAAAACAAAGAAAAGAGAAUUCCUGGUUUUGGUUUACUUGGCCUAUUGUGGAGCAAGAACAGGGUCCAUUGCCACUUUGGACUCCCCACUUUCAGAGGUUUCAGACUGUGAACCUAGCGGAGCAAUAUAUAUAUAUAUAUGUGCGUGUGCGCGCGCGCGCGCGCGCAUGCAGCUAUUCGCUCACAGUUCACAAGUGUCAAGAGUCAUCACCGCGUGGCUGUGAACUACUAAAGCUAUGAUAAUAAAACUAAAAACCUGACAUUACAAGGAAAGAGGGCAAUUGCAACAGUAAAUAGAACAAGCUUUCCUUUUCUACUCUUUCUUUUCUUUUGUUCCACUUUACUCCUCAAACUUGUCUAAGUUAUGUGUAUAUAUAUAUAUAUAAGAUUUUGAUACAAUUCUUUUUAACUCAUUGCAGAGAGUACCAUUGGCGAGUGUUUACAGAAUCUACUAAAGAAAAGAGAGAAGUUCGUUAUUUGGAGGCAUCUUUUGAGUGAUUGGGC